AACGAACGCUGGCGGCAGGCUUAACACAUGCAAGUCGAACGCAUCCUUCGGGGUGAGUGGCAGACGGGUGAGUAACGCGUGGGAACGUGCCCUUCAGUUUGGGAUAACCCAGGGAAACUUGGGCUAAUACCGGAUACGCCCUUUUGGGGAAAGAUUUAUCGCUGAAGGAUCGGCCCGCGUCUGAUUAGCUAGUUGGUGAGGUAAUGGCUCACCAAGGCGACGAUCAGUAGCUGGUCUGAGAGGAUGAUCAGCCACACUGGGACUGAGACACGGCCCAGACUCCUACGGGAGGCAGCAGUGGGGAAUAUUGGACAAUGGGCGCAAGCCUGAUCCAGCCAUGCCGCGUGAGUGAUGAAGGCCUUAGGGUUGUAAAGCUCUUUCGGCGGGGACGAUAAUGACGGUACCCGCAGAAGAAGCCCCGGCUAACUUCGUGCCAGCCGCCGCCGUAAAAC
rnacentral:rRNA from 1 species